rnacentral:rRNA from 1 species
GACGAACGCUGGCGGCGUGCCUAAUACAUGCCAGUCGAACGAGAGCGACCGGUGCUUGCACUGGUCAAUCUAGUGGCGAACGGGUGAGUAACACGUGGGUAACCUGCCCAUCAGAGGGGGAUAACAUCCGGAAACGGAUGCUAAAACCGCAUAGGUCUUCGAGCCGCAUGGCUUGAAGAGGAAAAGAGGCGCAAGCUUCUGCUGAUGGAUGGACCCGCGGUGCAUUAGCUAGUUGGUGAGGUAACGGCUCACCAAGGCCGUGAUGCAUAGCCGACCUGAGAGGGUGAUAGGCCACUUUGGGACUGAGACACGGCCCAAACGCCUACGGGAGGCAGCAAUAGGGAAUCGUCCGCAAUGGACGCAAGUCUGACGGAGCAACGCCGCGUGAGUGAAGAAGGUUUUCGGAUCGUAAAACUCUGUUGUUAGAGAAGAACAAGUGCUAGAGUAACUGUUAGCGCCUUGACGGUAUCUAACCAGAAAGCCACGGCUAACUACGUG